AGCUCAGUAGCUUAGUUGGUAAAGCUCUCGUCUAGCAUACAAGAGUCCUGGGUUCGAAUCCCUGCACAGCCC
rnacentral:tRNA from 1 species